rnacentral:lncRNA from 1 species
UUACUCUGUCUGCCACUGAAUUUUACUGUAGAGAAAUAGUGCUUGGUCGGCCAUUGGAGCUUGCCUUUUACUGUAGAGACACGUGAAGGAAUAAGGUUCCUUCUGCCUUUUAAUCAGAUGAGGACGAAGUGUCCUUCUUUUUCUUUUCUUUUCUUUUUACUUUGCUUUUUUGUUUUAACUUUGCUGUUCCUUUUUCUUUUUUGUCAGCUUUACUUUUUACUAUUAUUGAUUGAAGAAUAUCAUCAUUGCUAUCUUUACUUGAAACAAGGGAAG